UUUUUUUUUUUUUUUGAGACAGAGUUCGCUCUUAUCACCCAGAUUGGAGUGCAGUGGCGCAAUCUCGGCUCACUGCAACAUCCACCUCCUGGGUUCAAGCAAUUCUCCUGCCUCAGCCUCCUGAGUAGCUGGGAUUACAGGGGUUCAAAACCAGCCUGGCCAACAUGGUGAAACCCCGCCUCUACUAAAAAAUACACAAAUUAGCUGGGCACGGUGGUGAGUGCCUGUAAUCCCAGCUACUCGGUGGGGGCUGAGGCAGGAGAAUUGAUUGAACCCGGGAGGUGGAGAUUGCAGUGAGCUGAGACCGCGCCAUUGCACUCCAGCUUGGGCAACAGAGUGAAACUCCAUCUCUCGGGAAAAAAAAAAAAAAAAAACCAACAACGAAAGAACUUGGGAAAGACUGGACUCUAGAACUCUGGGACUCUGACAGCCAAAGAGCUGGUAAACUGGCUGAGGUCCCAGGGGAGAGCUCUCCCUCAGAGGGGCUGGGGCAGGGCUCUCCUCCAAUUUUAGAUUAGUUCUGACCAGCCCCAUUCUCUGGAGGAAAACUUCAACAUGGAAGCAUCUCCUGAACUGGUACAACUCUGCUGAGGUCUCCCUGAGGCCUGGCCUAACCCAAAGUGCAGCAUCGGCAGAGUGCUGCUCUGCCAGUUGAGAGGGGUGUGGUGGGGCACGGGAGCUGGAUUUUGUAACGCUCUGGGGUCUGAGUUCAGGUUGCCCAAGCCCCACUGGCCAAAAGCAAAGUGGUGAUGUUGUCAAAGCCUACUCACCUGCCACAUCCUAAUCUCAGCUCCUCUCUCUCCCACCCUCAUCCACCUCCCAUAACAUGCUUUAGUCCCACCCUACUGUCAGUUAUUCCUGCAAAGAAUACAACUUACAGCCGGGCGCGGUGGCUCACACCUGCAAUCCCAGCACUUUGGGAGGCCGAGGUGGGUGGAUCACGAGGUCAGGAGAUUGAGACCAUCCUGGCUAACACGGUGAAACCCCAUCUCUACU
rnacentral:lncRNA from 1 species